UGGGGAAUUUUGGACAAUGGGCGAAAGCCUGAUCCAGCAAUGCCGCGUGUGUGAAGAAGGCCUUCGGGUUGUAAAGCACUUUUGUCCGGAAAGAAAUCUGUCUGGCUAAUACCCGGACGGGAUGACGGUACCGGAAGAAUAAGCACCGGCUAACUACGUGCCAGCAGCCGCGGUAAUACGUAGGGUGCGAGCGUUAAUCGGAAUUACUGGGCGUAAAGCGUGCGCAGGCGGUUUUGUAAGACCGAUGUGAAAUCCCCGGGCUUAACCUGGGAACUGCAUUGGUGGCUGCAAGGCUAGAGUGCGUCAGAGGGUGGUGGAAUUCCGCGUGUAGCAGUGAAAUGCGUAGAGAUGCGGAGGAACACCGAUGGCGAAGGCAGCCCCCUGGGAUGACACUGACGCUCAUGCACGAAAGCGUGGGGAGCAAACA
rnacentral:rRNA from 1 species